GUUCUUGGUUUUUUUUCUUAUUGUUUCUUUUGCCAAAACUUGCUAUCACCUAUGUGUGCUAUGAAAAGUGAUAUGUAUGUUUAUUAGUACAAUGAGUCUCAUCUUACGCAGGGGUUCUGUUCCACAGUUAGCGCGUAAAGCGAAAACUGCGUAUAGUCAAAAUUGCAUUGAGUUGAAGGGUGGGCGGAAUUGCCUGCACUGUAAGUACACUAUUAAUUUUUUUUUUUUUGGUUUUGCCAACCGUGUAAAGCUAAAAUCGUGCAUGUUAAAUGCUUGUAAGAUGCGACAGACCUGUAUCACUUUUCACAGCAGAUUUACUCAGCCCUGGCAAUCCUGGGGACAAAUUAAGCCCUGGAUGGGGAGGUGAGUACACAGGCAAUAGGGGUGAUGGGGCACCGAGGGAGGCAGCAGGGAGCCGGGAGAGAGCUUGGACCUAGAGCCUGUUACCAUGCAGUCAGGGAAUGGAGCCUGAAGUCCAAUACCAGGGGACAGGGCCCAGGGACAAAGCCUGAAGCCCUGUGGCUGGAGCCUGCCACCCAAGGGCUGAAGCCUGAUCCCACUGCCCUCGUAAAGGUAGGGAACUCACUGGCUGCCUGCUCCUCCAGCUUGUGUGGCUCCACAGUGGGGCGGGGCCUAACCACUGCUGGCUGACCCCUGGGUAAGGGCUGCUUCUUUGCCCCCUCCCUCACCCCCAAAUCCCCACCCAGAAGGCUGUGGCCGCAAGAAAAGCCCCUGGUGGCUGCACUGGAGAAAUGCUGAGAGCAUAGCCAUGAUUCAAUGUUGUUGUUUUUCCUGGGAUGAUGGAUUAAUCAAGUUUCACUAAUAGAAGCAUUUAUUUGAACAUGUCCAUCAUUAGCAAAGUAGAAGUGACCCCAUGUGUUUGUGGGUUUUUAGGUGAUUUGUGACAGUGCUCUGUUCCUGCUCUUCAGUCAGUCCAAGUGGCAUCAGCUGCAACCCCCUUACCACCAUAUUCAAGAUGGAAGAGGGGGACCACUGCCUCAUUCAGUGCACAAGAUGGACAAUGCAUAGUUAAUGAGAAACUAUUUAAUAUUUUGUUUAUCCUCAUUGUUCAAUGUGUGGCCUUAGGCCUUAUUUACUGCACAUUAUAUACUGUUCUAAAGACAGAACUAAUGAUUCUGUGUUGAUGAUCAUGUAUGACUGUCAUAAUUUAUAUGUACAAGGGGGGCAAAUUAAGGUUGAAUAGGCAAUCUUAAUUCUGUUUUUUUUCCUAACUUUUGUGUGAUUGACUGUGGAACUUUAACAAUGUCCUUUUAACGUAGUUUUGUGUGCAAUUACAUAUAUGCUCAAUGCUGUAUAAAAUUUGAAAAUAAAUCUUAUAGCUGAG